GAAUUCGCCCUUAGAGUUUGAUCCUGGCUCAGGAUGAACGCUGGCGGCGCGCCUAACACAUGCAAGUCGAACGGUUAAGACGCACUUCGGUGCGUGUAUAGAGUGGCGAACGGCUGAGUAACACGUGGGCAACCUGCCCCCCGCACCGGGAUAGCCUCGCGAAAGCGUGAUUAAUACCGGGUACUCCGGCACCUCCGCAUGGCGGUGCCGGGAGAGCGUUAGCGGCGGGGGAUGGGCCCGCGGCCUGUUAGCUAGUUGGCGGGGCAACGGCCCACCAAGGCGAUUAUGGGUAGCCGGGUUGAGAGACCGACCGGCCAGAUUGGGACUGAGACACGGCCCAGACUCCUACGGGAGGCAGCAGUGGGGAAUCUUGCGCAAUGGGGGGAACCCUGACGCAGCGACGCCGCGUGCGGGACGAAGGCCCUAGGGUCGUAAACCGCUUUCAGCAGGGAAGAGGCCGCGAGGUGACGGUACCUGCAGAAGAAGCCCCGGCUAAAUACGUGCCAGCAGCCGCGGUAAUACGUAUGGGGCGAGCGUUAUCCGGAUUCAUUGGGCGUAAAGCGCGCGUAGGCGGCCUGGCAGGCCGGGAGUCAAAUCCGGGGGCUCAACCCCCGCCCGCUCCCGGAACCUCCGGGCUUGAGUCUGGCAGGGGAGGGUGGAAUACCCGGUGUAGCGGUGGAAUGCGCAGAUAUCGGGAAGUCCUCCGGUGGCGCGGGCGGCCCUCUGGGCCGCGUCUGGCGCUGUGGCGCGUUAGCUGGGGGCGCCUCUCAAAGUUGGUUGCCGCUGGUAGUCCCAGGCCGUNGNNCGACCCAUUAUGGAGUGUGGGGGGACGAUCCCCCCGUGCCGCAGCCAACGCACUAAGCGUCCCGCCUGGGGAGUACGGCCGCAAGGCUAAAACUCAAAGGAAUUGACGGGGGCCCGCACAAGCAGUGGAGUAUGUGGUUUUAAUUCGACGCAACGCGAAGAACCUUACCAAGUCUUGACAUCCUGCGACGGUGCUGGAAACAGCAUUUUCCUUCGGGACGCAGAGACAGGUGGUGCAUGGUUGUCGUCAGCUCGUGUCGUGAGAUGUUGGGUUAAGUCCCGCAACGAGCGCAACCCUUAUGGUCAGUUACUACGCAAGAGGACUCUGGCCAGACUGCCGUUGACAAAACGGAGGAAGGUGGGGAUGACGUCAAAUCAUCAUGCCCUUUAUGACUUGGGCUACACACGUACUACAAUGGCGUUAAACAAAGAGAAGCAAGACCGCGAGGUGGAGCAAAACUCAGAAACAACGUCCCAAUUCGGACUGCAGGCUGCAACUCGCCUGCACGAAGUCGGAAUUGCUAGUAAUCGUGGAUCAGCAUGCCACGGUGAAUACGUUCCCGGGCCUUGCACUCACCACCCGUCA
rnacentral:rRNA from 1 species